GACGAACGCUGGCGGCGUGCUUAACACAUGCAAGUCGAGCGAAGUGGCGAACGGGUGAGUAACGAGUAAUCAACCUGCCCUUCAGAGGGGGACAACAGGUGGAAACGACUGAUAAUACCGCAUAAUGAAGGAGGGGACUGCGGCUGAUAAGCUAGUUGGAGGGGUAACGGCCCACCAAGGCGAUGAUCAGUAGCCGGGUUGAGAGAAUGAACGGCCACAUUGGGACUGAGACACGGCCCAGACUCGUACGGGAGGCAGGAGUGGGGAAUCUUCCGCAAUGGACGAAAGUCUGACGGAUCAACGCCGCGUGAGUGAUGACGGCCUUCGGGUUGUAAAGCUCUGUUAUUCGGGACGCGGUACCGGAAUAGAAAGCCACGGCUAACUACGUGCCAGCAGCCGCGGUAAUAC
rnacentral:rRNA from 1 species